AACGCACAUUGCGCCCUUUGGUAUUCCAAAGGGCAUGCCUGUUUGAGCGUCAUUUCUCCCUCAAACCUUCGGGUUUGGUGUUGAGCGAUACGCUGGGUUUGCUUGAAAGAAAGGCGGAGUAUAAACUAAUGGAUAGGUUUUUUUUUUCCACUCAUUGGUACAAACUCCAAACAUUCUUCCAAAUUCGACCUCAAAUCAGGUAGGACUACCCGCUGAACUUAA
rnacentral:misc_RNA from 1 species